rnacentral:rRNA from 1 species
GUGCACCAGUCGCGAAACUUUACAAUGUGCGAAAGCACGAUAAGGGAACUCUGAGUGCCUCCUAAGGAGGCUGUUCAGGUGUCUAAAAAGCACCUGGAGUAAGGGCUGGGUAAGACCGGUGCCAGCCGCCGCGGUAACACCGGCAGCCCAGGUGGUAGCCACUUUUAUUGGGUCUAAAGCGUCCGUAGCCGGUUGAGUAAGUUCCUUGGGAAAUUUGGCUGCUCAACAGUCAAGCUUCCAGGGAAUACUGCUCGACUUGGGACUGGGAGAGGUCAGAGGUACUCCAGGGGUAGGGGUGAAAUCCAUUAAUCCCUGGGGGACCACCGGUAGCGAAGGCGUCUGACCAGACCAGGUCCGACGGUGAGGGACGAAGGCUAGGGGCGCGAACCGGAUUAGAUA